AACGAACGCUGGCGGCAUGCCUAACACAUGCAAGUCGAACGAUUGCCUUCGGGUGAUAGUGGCGCACGGGUGCGUAACGCGUGGGAAUCUGCCCUUAGGUUCGGAAUAACAGCUGGAAACGGCUGCUAAUACCGGAUGAUAUCGCGAGAUCAAAGAUUUAUCGCCUGAGGAUGAGCCCGCGUUGGAUUAGGUAGUUGGUGGGGUAAAGGCCUACCAAGCCGACGAUCCAUAGCUGGUCUGAGAGGAUGAUCAGCCACACUGGGACUGAGACACGGCCCAGACUCCUACGGGAGGAAGCAGUGGGGAAUAUUGGACAAUGGGCGCAAGACUGAUCCAGCAAUGCCGCGUGAGUGAUGAAGGCCCUAGGGUUGUAAAGCUCUUUUACCCGGGAAGAUAAUGACUGUACCGGGAGAAUAAGCCCCGGCUAACUCCGUG
rnacentral:rRNA from 1 species